CACGCUGCAGAUCUUGAGGCUCUCCUGCCUGUAUAACCACAGGAGCCAGUUCCCUAUAAGAAAUCUCUCCUGGCCGGGCACGGUGGCGCAUGCCUGUAAUCCCAGCACUUUAGGAGGCCAAGGCAGGUGGAUCACUUGAGGUCAGAAGUUCCAGACCAGCCUGGCCAACAGGGUGAAACCCCAUCUCUACUAAAAAUACAAAAAAUUAGCUGGGCAUGGUGGUGGGUAGCUGUAAUCCCAGCUACUUGGGAGGCUGAGAUGGGAGAAUCACUGGAAUCUGGGAGGCAGAGUGAGACUCCUUCUCAAAAAAACAAAGAAAAGAAAUCUCUUCCACAUACAUCUCAUUGGUUCUGUUUCUCAGGAGAACCUUGCCUCAUAGAUAUUGCUAAUUUUCCUAUUUUACAGAUGAGAAAAUGUUCAAAUCAGAGCCACUCCAUAUGUGGCCAGCCUUGCAAAAAGUUCAGUGUCAUUGGUAGAGCAAGAUUUGAAGCUCCAGCUCAAAGGAAUUCUGAUUUUUAGAUGAUGGAAAGAAAGGAAGAAAGAAUCAGAGGAAAGAAAGCAAGAAAGAAACCAAUAGCAUCUAGAAGCAAAGUUCGCCUGUACCUUAAGGGAAAGAAUUUUGUAAGAAAGUUUGUAUUUGCAGAUAACUUCUACAAGUGGUGCCUGUGGCCAACCAGGAACGGGGAGGACCAACAACUGUAGCGAGCCACUUAAGAGCUUCAAAAUUAUAUUUGUCUCAUUUCCCCCAUUUUUAGUGGUUGAAAACACUUCAACACAUUCUUGCUUCUGAGUAUAUAGGAAAUAGGUCAGUGAUGGGACAUGCUCAGGAUUAUAGGCCACUGUGGGAGAUAAGAUCUUUGACACCUGAACAACCUCCUCCAUAAGGCUGUCACUCAGAGCAGCUCCUGGCUAAGACCUGGGAACCAUGCUCUUAAGCUGUGCUGAGAUAGAGUUAGAGGGAAUGUGAAGGAGGGCUUUCCAGAAGGCAGGAGCCUGGAAGAGGGACUUGAGGGUCUUGAAGAAAAGGCACGUGGGCAAGUGUGUCAGGUGGGCCAUGAGGUGAUAACAUUCCCGAGUGCUCCGAACCCUCUGGUUAAAGGACAUUAUUUAACCACAGGUUAUUAUUCUGUCUAUUAUUUGUGUCUGUAAUAACAGCCAUGACAUUAGAUGCUGCAAAGGUCAGCCCUGGGGCUCCUGUUGCCUGACAUGUUUAGUAAGGGUUGGAGGUGGAAAAGAGUUGAUGAAGCUUGCUGUUGAUCUAAACACUUUUCAGCUGGCCACAGCUUGUGUGUGUGUGGGGGUGGGGGUGGGGGUGUGUGUGGGGGCAGGGCUAUGAGAAACCCCAGAUGAAACUGAUCUCCUGUGGGCCCCAGGCAAGGACAACAGGUCUGAAAUUUAGCUUGAAUAUGUGCAAGGUAAGGCCCACGGUGUGAAAGCUCAUCUCAGCAUCUUUUUGAGUGCAGGAUUCUCAGGGUCCAGCCACAGAGAGUAGGCACUCACUCAGUUCAGGGCAGAGGCCUGCCUUAGUCACCAAGCACGCAGCAUGCUUGGUGUGCUGAGAUGCUCUUAAGCUGUGCCGAGAUGGAGUUAGAAGGAAUGUGGAGUGGGGCUCUGGGUUUUGGGCUCCUGAACGGGUACUGGGCCCCACAGGGGUUUGGACUGCCCUUUUCUGUCUAGAGUCAUUUUGGAUCUCACUGGACACUGCUUGGUAGGAUUGUAGCAAUUGCAUCCCUUCACCUUACACAAAGAGAAGGAGGAUCUUCGAGGAGAGACCUGCCCAAGGUCAUCCAGCUAGAUGGAGGCUGAGCCAGGACCAGAAGCUGGGCCUUUCCAGCUGGAGUGUCUCCUCCACUCCACCUUGUCUGUCAGCUCCCACCCAACCUGAGGCAGGUAAACAGCUGCCUCACAGCCCCUGGCUGGAGAUGGUGGGAGAUCGGAAGCCCAGGAGCAACCCAGUCUCCUCACUCCCCUCACUUCCCACAAAUGUGUUUUGAGUACUUACUACAUAUCGUGCACUGUCACAUGGGGGAUAAGGUUUAGCAUCAGACCUUGGUCAUUUAAUCCCGUUGAGCCUCGAUUUCCCCAUCUGGAAAAUGUGCAACACCAACUCCUAUGCCUAACACAUAUAGUGAGUGUUCCCUUAAAGGUAGCUAUGGAAGAUGGAGGCCAUGCUCUCAAGAAGUUGCUGUCUGUCGGGGGAACCAGGUUCAUCAUCAGUGAUACUCAGUGUGUAUGAACAAAGUUGUGAAGGAGCAGAAGGAAGAACUAACUCUAACUGGGCUGUACCAAUAUCUGCUCUGCCACUUACCGGCUGGAUGACCAGAAGAAAGUUCCUCGCCCUCUCUAGCAGAGGCUGAAUUGCCUUAUUGGUAAAGUGGGAUGAUUUAAGUAGCACAUAAAUGCCAGCUUAUGGAUUUAUGAAUUGGAGAUAACAAAUAUAAAACAUUUGACUGUUAGUUGGCAUUGGUAGAAUAUGUCAUUUUUUUGCUGGAAGCCAAAUCUUCACUGAAGAGGUAACAUUUGUGUUGGAUUUUGAGAGAUGGGUGGGGGAGCUAUGUGAAACCCCAGAUGAAACUGAUCUCCUCUGGGCCCCAGGCAAGGAUGGCAGCUGAAAUUUAGCUUGAAUACAUGCAAGGUAAGAUGGACAGGACAGCAUGGACAGAGGCACGAAGACAUGAAAAUAUGGCAUCUUCAGAGAAGGACAAGGAGCUUGGGGAUUUUGGAGCAAGGCAUGUAUAGGAGAGUGGUAGAGAGAGACUGGGACCAGGCUGUGAGGGCCUUGUGCCCAAAGUAAAGAAAUUUGGAUCUAUGGACAAUGAGGACCUUUGGGAGUUUUUGAGCUUGGGUAGGACAGGGUCAAAUGAGCAUUUAUAAAAUGUGCUUUGUUAGCACUUCCUUGGUUGUUGGUUUGGGUUUGUUUCACCAAGAGUCGCAUUCUGACAACAAUAACACAACUUGAUAAACUCCUGAAUAUCUAUCAGAAAUCUCUUAGUUGCAAGUGACAGGAAACCAAACUCAAGUUAGGUGUGAUUGUUUGAAAGUAUGUCUGCAGGGCCAGGUGCAGUGGCUUAUGCCUGUAAUCCCAGUACUUUGGGAGGCUGAGGUGGAAGGAUCACUUGAGGCCAGGAGUCUGAAACCAGUCUGCAGAGUGAAACUCCUUCUCUACAGAAAAUAAAAAAGUUAGCCAGGUGUAGUGGUGCAUUCCUGUAGUCCUAGCUACUCAGAAGCUGAGGAUUGCUUGAGCCCAGGAGUUUGAGGCUGCAGUGAGCUGUCAUUGCACCACUGCACUCCAGCCUGGGUGACAUAGUGAGAUACAGUUAGAAAAAGGAAGGAAGGAAGAAGGAAGGAAGGAAGGCAAAAAGGAAGAGCGGAAGGAAGGGAGGGGGAGAGGGAGGGAAGGAGGGAGGGAAAAGAUGUCCGUAAAUUUGAUACUCCUCCCUUCAAGUGGUAAAGGCUAAUGCCUCUCCCUUUGAGUGCAGACUAGACUUGAUAACUCAUUUCCGACAAAUAGAAUAAGUGGGAAGUGAUCAUGUGUGACUCCAGAGACUAGGUCAUAAAAGGCAUGGAGGCUUACCCCUUACUGGCCCUCUCCCAAGUGGCUCUUCUGGAGGAAGCCAGCUGUCAUGUUCUGAGCACUCCAACAGCCGAAGGACAGCCUGAAUGGCAAGGAACUGAAGGCUCUGUCAAAAGACUCAUAGGUGGACCAGCAUGUGAUUUCACAUCCUUGCAGGCCUUGUCAAGCCUCCAGAGUCCUUGCUAACAUUCAGUCUGAAAUUAUAUGAGACCCUGAGCCAGCACCACCCCACUAAGCUGCUCCAAAAUCCUUGACCCACACACACUGUGCAAUAAGAAAUGUUUGUUCUUUGAAGCCCCUAAAUUCUGUAGCAAUAGAUAACUAACUAAUACACCAGCUUAAGCAAAAAAGGGAACUAACUGGUGUACGUAACUGUGGAGACUAGAGGUAGAGAUAACUAGAUACGAGUCAUCAAAAGAUGUCACUGGGGGCUGGAUGAGGUAGCUCAUGCCUGUAAUCCCAGCAAUUUGGGAGGCCAAGACAGGUGGAUCAUUUGAGGUCAGAAGUUUGAGACCAGCCCGGCCAACUUGAUGAAACCCUGUCUCUACUAAAAAUCCAAAAAAAUUAGCUGGAUGUGGUGGUACACAUCUGUAAUCCCAGCAACCUAAGGAGGCUGAGGCAGGAGAAUCGCUUGAACUCAGGAGGUGGAGGUUGCAGUGAGCUGAGAUCAUACCACUGCAUUCCAGCCUGGGCAACAGAGUGAGACUCCAUCUC
rnacentral:lncRNA from 1 species